GUUUGACUUUGGUAGCAACCUCAGCUGGUCUGUUUGGUCCCACUGGGGAUAAAACCCACUGAUGGUCAUGAUGUCCUGGCUCCACUGACUUUGGUGGAGGGCUUGCCUGACUGUCCGCUCGAUUCAAACAUAGCCAGGCUGAACUGCUGAAAGGCUGUUUUGCCCCAGAGGCGGCUGUGUUUCAGCUAAUCAGAGGGAGAGAGAUGAGGACAGUUUUUAUCUUUCCAGCAAAAUGAUGCCAGACUUUGAAAGCCGAGAAAGACUAAACAUGCCGAAGGCAUGCACAGCGGGGAGCACUAAAAUGUGACAACAACCAUCGAUGCUGGCAGCCCCGGAUGGCAGCUGUGGGAGUGGAAGAGGGAAGAAAAGGAGAAGGAGGGGGAAACCAAGGGAUGUGGAAUAUUUUAUAAUGAUUAAAUUGAGAAAACUCGCCUGUGUUGCCUUUGACCAUUCACAGACGGAAGCUACACAGGAUUAUAUGGUGUCAUCAGGGUGACGAUUUUCUGCGCUAACAUAAGACCAAGGCAAUUAUGAAGUAACAGCAAUGUCCAGCAGCCCGGGGGUGGGUGGACCAGGAUA